AUAAUAUGAUUUUAUUCAAACAUUAUUUAUUUUUAUAAUGUUGGGAAUGUGGGGCCUCCAUUGGUCUUUGCAACCUUUAGUAAUUUUUGCAACUCUUGAAAUUCCGCCCAAAUUAUGUUACUGGACAAUACAAUAUUUUCAAAUAAACUAAGCGAGUUCAAUAUUUAUUUAUUUAAUAUAAUGGAAUCAAAUAUUACCAUUCAUUGAAGCCAUCGUCUCAUUGAACAGGUAACCUUCAAACCGAGAUGUAGCUGCUGU